rnacentral:snRNA from 1 species
CAAAUAUUAUUGAUAUACUGAAGUUGGAACGCUACAGAGAAGAUUAGCAUGGCCCCUGUGCAAAGAUGUCAUACAAAUUCGAGAAGCAUUCCAUUUUUUA